GUCGGCGUAGCUCAAUUGGAUAGAGCAUCAGUCUUCGGAACUGAGGGUUGAGGGUUCGAAUCCCUCCGCCGAUA
rfam:Candidatus Staskawiczbacteria bacterium RIFCSPHIGHO2_01_FTLL_36_16 rifcsphigho2_01_scaffold_32228, whole genome shotgun sequence.